ensembl:lncRNA
UUUUUUUUUUUCUUUUUGUAUUUUUAGUGGAGAUGGGUUUUCUCCAUGUUGCCCAAGCUGGUCUCAAACUCCUGACCUCAAGCACUCUGCCCGCCUCAGCCUCCCAAAGUGCUGGGAGGGAGCCACCGUGUCCACCCAGACUUUUUCAUUUCUGUUGUGAGAGUUGUCAGAAUGAAACUGAAAUCACUGAUGUUAAGGAAACCCUGACAAAUAGAGCUGUGAAAGGACAUGGAGGGAGGGAUCUCAGGUUUGCAUGCCUGAUCAUUAAAAAGACUCUACAAAAACCACAACCUUGCACAAAGGCCAUUGUAGCCCAACACAAAAAAUACUUCUGCAAGAACAUGUGUCCAGCAACUGUCUGUCAACCUUGGGCUGGCGUCACCCUUGUUUUUGUUCUCAGUAGCCAAGGAUAAUUAUUUCAAAACAACUAUGUAAUCCUCCUCAUCUCUACCUUUAGAAACCAUUGUCUUUCUUUCCCUCCCCAAAUAUGCACAAAGUUAACUAUAGCAUGCAGAUUCCCAUUACAGUACUCUAUUCCAAAAUAAACAUCUUUUUCUUUUAAAGAGACUCUCUGUUAGUUAUUUGGGUGGACGUUGUUAUGGGAUAACCUGUGCACCCCCUUAAAAUUCAUAUGUUGAAGCCCUAGGCCCAAGCUUUCAGAGUGUGACUGUAUUUGGAGAUAUGGUCUUUAAAGAGAAGAUUAAGGUAACAUAAGGUCAUAAGAGUGGGCCCUAGUCUAAUAUGACUGGUGUCCUUAUAGGAAAUUAGGACACAGGUACAGAGAGAAGGCCAUGUGAAGACACAGGGAGAAGACAACCAUCUGCUAGCCAAGGAGAGAGGCCGGACUCUGAAAUAACCAAUCCAGCUGCCACCUGGUUCUCCGACUUCCAACCUCACUGUGAAAAAAAUACAUUUCCAACCUCUUUUGUACUCAGUUCCCCUCUGGGUUUUCCAUUCUAUUUAUAUUUUCUCCCAUUUAGCAACCUUAAACACUCAUGGGAAAAGUCCCCAUUGCACCCUCUCCCUGUCCCUCAACACAAUUAUCUUUCUCCCUCUGAUAGGGUUUGGAUAUUUGCCCUUCCAAAUCUCAGGUCGAAAUAUAACCCCUCAUGUUGGAGGUGGGGCCUAGUGGGAGGUGUCUGGGUCAUGUGGACAGAUCCCUGACAACUGUCUUGGUGCCAUCCUCACAAUAAUAAGUGAGUUCUCACUCUAUGAGGUCACCCGAGAUCUGCUUGUCUGAAAGAGCCUGGUACGUCCGCCUCUCUCUCGCCAUGUAACAUUCAGGCUGCCCCUUCACCUUCCAACAUGGUUGGAAGUUUCCUGAGGCCUCAACAGAAGCAGAUGCCUGCACCAUGCCUCCUGUACAGCCUGAAGAACCAUGGGCUAAAAUAAACCAUUUUACAUCAUCAGUCACCCAGCCUCAGGUAUGCCUUUACAGCAACACAAAAACGGACUAACGCGCUCUCUCUCUCUUUCUGUUCUAUAACACACAGCAAUUGUAUAUGGGGAAAUUAAGCCAUUAACACACAACAUACACAAAGCCGUGUCUGUAACUAAAGGAGUACACAUGAAAAGUAACACACACAAUAGUAUCCAAUGCCAGGAAGGGUUUGGUGAAAUAGACACUCACAUAAACUGUUGGUGGGAGUAUAUAUUUGAGGUAACUUUCUGGAGGUUAAUUUGGCCACAUAC